ACACUCCUGCGGGAGGCAGCAGUGGGGAAUUUUACGCAAUGGGGGAAACCCUGACGUAGCGACACCGCGUGAGCGAAGAAGCCCUUUGGGGUGUAAAGCUCUGUCAGCUGGAACGAAAACAAUGACGGUACCAGCAGAGGAAGCAUCGGCUAACUACGUGCCAGCAGCCGCGGUAAGACGUAGGAUGCGAGCGUUGUCCGGAUCUAUUGGGCGUAAAGAGUUCGUAGGUGGUUUGUUAAGUUUGGUGUUAAAGAUCGGGGCUCAACCCUGGGACUGCACUGAAUACUGGCAGACUCGAGUGUGGUAGAGGCUAGUGGAAUUCCCAGUGUAGCGGUGAAAUGCGUAGAUAUUGGGAAGAACACCGGUGGCGUAGGCGACUAGCUGGGCCAUAACUGACGCUGAGGAACGAAAGCCAGGGGAGCGAAUGGGAUUAGAAACCCCUGUAGUCCC
rnacentral:rRNA from 1 species